rnacentral:rRNA from 1 species
GGUUUCGGCAGGCUACCAUGCAGUCGAGCGGUAACAGGGAAAGCUUGGUUCCCUCUGUCAAGAGUGGGACGGGGAGAGAUGUGUGUGGAACUGUCCGUUAUAGGGGGGUAUCUCCUGGGAACGGUGGCUAUUACCCCGUAUUCUCUCAAGAGCAAAGAGGGGGAGCUUUUGGGCUCUCGCGCUCUCAUGUGCCCCCAUGGGGUUUGCUCUUGGGGGGGGGGAAGGUCUCCCCUGGGACACUAUCCCUAUGUGGUCUGAGAGGGUGCCCACCCACUCUGGAACUGAGACACGGCCCAGACUCCUACGGGAGGCAGCAGUGGGGAAUUUUGCACUGUGGGCGCAAGCCUGAUGCACCCAUGCCGCGUGUGAGAAGAAGGCCUUCGGGGUGUAAAGCACUUUCAGCGGAGAAGAAGGCGAUGAGGAUUAUACCCUUCUAUUGUGACGAUCCCCACAGAAGAAGCACGGUAUAUCUGCGUGACAGCACCCGCGGUUAUACAGAGGGCGCGAGCUUUUCUCAGUUUCUCUGGGCGAAGCGCGCGCAGGGGGUCUGUUAAGUUGGAUGUGAAAUCCCCGGGCUUAACCUGGGAACUGCAUUCAAAACUGACAGGCUAGAGUCUUGUAGAGGGGGGGUAGAAUUCCAGGUGUAGCGGUGAAAUGCGUAGAGAUCUGGAGGAAUACCGGUGGCGAAAGGCCGGCCCCCCUGGACAAAGACUGACGCUCAGGUGCGAAAGCGUGGGGAGCAAACAGGAUUAGAUACCCUGGUAGUCCACGCUGUAAACGAUGUCGACUUGGAGGUUGUGCCCUUGAGGCGUGGCUUCCGGAGCUAACGCGUUAAAUCGACCGCCUGGGGAGUACGGCCGCAAGGUUAAAACUCAAAUGAAUUGACGGGGGCCCGCACAAGCGGUGGAGCAUGUGGUUUAAUUCGAUGCAACGCGAAGAACCUUACCUACUCUUGACAUCCAGAGAACUUAGCAGAGAUGCUUUGGUGCCUUCGGGAACUCUGAGACAGGUGCUGCAUGGCUGUCGUCAGCUCGUGUUGUGAAAUGUUGGGUUAAGUCCCGCAACGAGCGCAACCCUUAUCCUUUGUUGCCAGCGGUUCGGCCGGGAACUCAAAGGAGACUGCCGGUGAUAAACCGGAGGAAGGUGGGGAUGACGUCAAGUCAUCAUGGCCCUUACGAGUAGGGCUACACACGUGCUACAAUGGCGCAUACAAAGAGAAGCGACCUCGCGAGAGCAAGCGGACCUCAUAAAGUACGUCGUAGUCCGGAUUGGAGUCUGCAACUCGACUCCAUGAAGUCGGAAUCGCUAGUAAUCGUGGAUCAGAAUGCUACGGUGAAUACGUUCCCGGGCCUUGUACACACCGCCCGUCACACCAUGGGAGUGGGUUGCAAAAGAAGUAGGUAGCUUAACCUUCGGGAGGGCGCUUACCACUUUGUGAUUCAUGACUGGGGUGAAGUCGACAGUCC